AUGCGGUGCUUGGCUCUGAGAACUGAAUUCCAUAGGCUGUGAGUUGAUGAGGAUGCCCUAGGGAUUCAGUUCCACAGCCCAGCAACCCACA
rnacentral:pre_miRNA from 13 species